rnacentral:tRNA from 1 species
GGGGCGGAAGGGCCGCUGGUGGGCCCCCCGGUCUUCAAAACCGACGGGGACGGUGCUCCCGUCCUGGUGUGUUCGAUUCGCACCCGCCCCCGCCA